GGGUCCAUCCUAAUUCCUGUUGGCCAGCCUGUGGCCUCCAGGUUUCGCUUGUGGACCAGAGCACCCUGGGAGCCUCCCCGUAGGAGCAGGCAGCGCCUCAUUGGGCUCUUGCCAGGGGCGCUUCUGGACACUG